rnacentral:rRNA from 1 species
AUGAGCAGCGACGAGUUACUUCAAGCUCAGCUGGAGCUCUACCACCACGGCCUCGCCUUCGUCAAGUCACUGGCGCUCAAGGCCGCCACGGACCUGCGCAUCCCCGACACCAUCCACCGCCGGGGCGGCGCCGCCACCUUGUCCGAGCUGGCCUCCGACACCGGGAUCCACCCCACGAAGCGCUCCAACCUCCGGCGGGUCAUGCGGGUGCUCACCACCACCGGGGUAUUCUCCAUUGUCCAAGGCAAAGGCAGCAACGACCACGCCGGUGAUGGCGCUGCGUAUUACAAGCUCACGCGGGUCUCCCGGCUCCUUGUCGAGAGAUCACCGCACAACCUGUCCCCGAUGGUGGGCACCAUCGUCAACACGUUAUGCUGGACCUCUCUCCUCAAAAUGCCAGAGUGGUUUACCCAAGGCCAAGAGGGAGAGUCGGCACAGUCGCACUCGCUCGUCCAGCUGGCCAACGGCUGCACGUUCUGGGACACCACCAAGGUCGAUGGCGGCUUGUUCAACGACGGCAUGGCCGCGGACAGCCGCAUCGCCAUGAAGGUCCUGUUGAAAGAGCACGGCGGAGCGUUCGGGGAAGUGAAAAGCUCGCUGGUGGACAUCGGCGGCAACCAUGGCGCUACCGCGUCGGCCGUGGCGAGAGCGUUCCCGCACCUCAAGUGCACCGUUCUGGACCUCGCACACGUUGUCGCCGCGGCUCCCGCCAGCGACAUUUUGACCUUCGUCGCCGGAAAUAUGUUCGAGUAUGUCCCACCUGCGGAUGCUGUUCUACUCAAGUGGAUUUUGCAUGACUGGAAACACGAAGAUUGCGUCAAGAUAAUGCGCCGGUGCAAGGAAGCGAUCCCAGCGAAAGAAGCCGGAGGAAAGGUGAUAAUUAUCGAUAUGGUGGUGGGAUAUCCGGUGACUCAGCCCAACGAUUCCAUAGAGGCGCAGGUUUUGUUAGAUAUCUACAUGAUGGGCUCCGAUGGAAUGGAGCGAGAGGAAAACGAGUGGAGCUUGAUUUUCUCCGAAGCCGGGUUCAGCGACUACAAGAUCACUCCAACCAAUGGGAUUCGAUCAAUUAUCGAAGUAUACCCUUAA